rnacentral:tRNA from 1 species
GCGCAGGUGGCGGAACUGGUAGACGCGCUACCUUGAGGGGGUAGUGCCCAUAUACGGGUGUGGAGGUUCAAGUCCUCUCCUGCGCACCA